rnacentral:sRNA from 1 species
CCACCGCUCCAGCUCCAGCACCACCAGACAGACGCUGGUGGUGGUGCAGCAUCUGUUGUUGCUGCUGCUGUUGUUGUUGUUGUUGUUGCUGCUGCUGCUGCUGUUGAAGCUGCUGCAGUUGUUGCUGCUGCAAUUGCUGUUGCUGGAGUUGAUGCUGCUGGAGUUGCUGCUGCUG